AAAUUGAAGAGUUUGAUCAUGGCUCAGAUUGAACGCUGGCGGCAGGCCUAACACAUGCAAGUCGAACGGUAACAGGAAACAGCUUGCUGUUUCGCUGACGAGUGGCGGACGGGUGAGUAAUGUCUGGGAAACUGCCUGAUGGAGGGGGAUAACUACUGGAAACGGUGGCUAAUACCGCAUAACGUCGCAAGACCAAAGAGGGGGACCUUCGGGCCUCUUGCCAUCAGAUGUGCCCAGAUGGGAUUAGCU
rnacentral:rRNA from 2 species